UCGGGUCUGGUGUUUUUGUUUUAGGUUGGGUUGAGCUCCCUUGUCCGUCGGUUGUCUAGGUUUUCAUUGUCGUUCUCAUAUCAUCUGUGCUGGAAGGUGCGUAUGGCUUCCGAUCUGUGCAACGAAAGGAAGGAUUCCAAAUGGGAGAUUAGAGAUUCACCGGCAAAGAAGCAAAGGUGCGAGGAUUACGGUUCACCACCACCGCUUUGUUCAUCGGCAGAAGAAGAAGAAGAAGAAGAAAAAGAAAAAGAAAAAGAAAAAGAAAAAGAAGACCCUAGAUAAAAAAUUGUAGUCUAUAACUACGAUGAUUCAGAUGUGGAAGACGACAGUGAUGGAAUGCAUGAGUUUACUGAAAGGGAAUACCAAGAACAUAAUCGACAGAUGACUGAAAGCGAUGGCUUUGAUGUGAUGUCGUUCCCACGCUCCUUUGCUUGCGGUACAACGACCCCUCUUUCUAAUUUCAAUGAGAUUGCCGACGACCUCAAAGCUUUUUCCGAAUUGGCUCUUAAGGAAUACAAUGAGAAAGAGCAUACGAAUUUGGAGUUUGUGAAGGUUGUCAAGGUAAACAAAGCGGUUGUUGCUGGUUUUUUGUAUUAUAUUACCUUUGAUGUCAGGGAUGCUGCUGCGGUUGAUGGUGGUACUACGGAAUUUCAAGCUUGUGUCUGGGAUGGGAUUGCCCACACUGAAGUACUCAUUUCUAGGCUGAAAACUAGCACAUAAUCGAGGUUUUCAAAGGCGCAAUUGAGGUGCGACUUGAGGCGCAUCUUGAGGUGAGGUGCAACAAAAAUGCACAGAUGCGUUCUUUUUUAGGUGAGACUCCAGCUAUGCACAUGCCUCAAUCACAGAGACGUGCGCAUUUCUCGCGCUUUAUGCUCUUUUUAUGCAUCCGAUGGCGAGGCUCAAGCCUUUGAAGGGUUAGAUUUCAAAAAUAAAAAACGGAAACGAUAGAGUAUUUACCUUAUAAGUCGAUCUUCUUCAAAUCAGAGUCCCAACAACUUCGAAUUAGUCUUUGAAUCUUCUCCAACGAACUAGGGUUUCAAGUUUGAUACUUCCCAAAUUUCUCGUUCAAUGCAAUAAAAUUCAUCAGCUGUCCUUCUAUGAGGUGAGAUUGAAGAUUUCACGAAGGUAAUAUGCAUAUGGAGUCCGAGUCAGUUGUUGGAAAGGUGUGCUUCUAUGAAACAAAAUGAAUAUAAUAUUAGAAUCUUUGUACAUGUGGUGGUAGGUUGUGUUGGUAAGGUUUUGUUGACGUCAAAAACUUUGGAUAUUGACAAUUAUGUUGUUACUUGAUUUAGUAUAUGUCUAGAUUAAUAUUCUAAGCUAAUAUCUAAACUAAUAUUUAUAAAACAAUGUCGUCCGAUGAUGUUUUGUUUGACAAGUGAAAUGUAUGACACAUAACAACUAGAGUAGAUUGCUUGUCUAAGUUGUAUUUUAACUUUAAACAUGUAAAAGAACGUAAGCCCAAAGCAUCCUAAACAAUGGAGAUGCUCGAUACGCAUGCUGUUAAAUUUGAAAGUGUGUGAGGUGUCUGCAGAAGUUGUUUCAAUGUGAUGGAAGUCAAACAGACUGAUGUCUGUUUACUGUGCC